rnacentral:rRNA from 1 species
GAGUAACCAUUUUGGAGCUAGCCGUCGAAGGUGGGACAAAUGAUUGGGGUGAAGUCGUAACAAGGUAGCCGUAUCGGAAGGUGCGGCUGGAUCACCUCCUUUCUAAGGA